AGGAUGAACGCUGGCGGUCUGCUUAACACAUGCAAGUCGAACGGAGUACCUCGGUACUUAGUGGCGGACGGGUGAGUAACGCGUGAGAAUCUGCCCUUAGGUCGGGGACAACCAUUGGAAACGAUGGCUAAUACCGGAUAAGCCGAGAGGUAAAAGAUUAAUUGCCUAGGGAAGAGCUCGCGUCUGAUUAGCUAGUUGGUGAGGUAAAGGCUCACCAAGGCAUCGAUCAGUAGCUGGUCUGAGAGGAUGAUCAGCCACACUGGGACUGAGACACGGCCCAGACUCCUACGGGAGGCAGCAGUGGGGAAUUUUCCGCAAUGGGCGAAAGCCUGACGGAGCAAGACCGCGUGAGGGAGGAAGGCUCUUGGGUUGUAAACCUCUUUCUUGGGGAAGAACAAAAUGACGGUAUCCAAGGAAUCAGCAUCGGCUAACUCCGUGCCAGCAGCCGC
rnacentral:rRNA from 1 species